rnacentral:piRNA from 6 species
UCUACAGUGCACGUGUCUCCAGUA